UACGAAGGGGGCUAGCGUUGCUCGGAAUCACUGGGCGUAAAGCGCACGUAGGCGGAUUGCUAAGCCAGGGGUGAAAUCCUGGAGCUCAACUCCAGAACUGCCUUUGAUACUGGCAACCUUGAGUCCGGGAGAGGUGAGUGGAACUGCGAGUGUAGAGGUGAAAUUCGUAGAUAUUCGCAAGAACACCAGUGGCGAAGGCGGCUCACUGGCCCGGUUCUGACGCUGAGGUGCGAAAGCGUGGGGAGCAAACAGG
rnacentral:rRNA from 1 species